rnacentral:rRNA from 1 species
UACGAAGGGGGCUAGCGUUGCUCGGAAUUACUGGGCGUAAAGCGCACGUAGGCGGCUUCUUAAGUCGGUGGUGAAAUCCUGGAGCUCAACUCCAGAACUGCCCUCGAUACUGGGAAGCUCGAGUCCGGGAGAGGUGAGUGGAACUGCGAGUGUAGAGGUGAAAUUCGUAGAUAUUCGCAAGAACACCAGUGGCGAAGGCGGCUCACUGGCCCGGUACUGACGCUGAGGUGCGAAAGCGUGGGGAGCAAACAGG